GAGAGAGAGAGAGAGAGAGAGAGAGAGCGCGACGCGUUUGUCAGAAGUCCCACCGCUCCGGCGACUGUAACCCUAAUCUACCUCAACUUUGUCUCCGAUAAACCAACGAUGGUGAAGCUUUGCGAAUGGAGGCUAAAGAGGAAAAUGAACAGAGCCCUGUGAGUUGGAUAAAUCUUUUGCAAUCAAUCAACAUUUACAAGGUGUGUCCACAACUUUGAUAUAAAGUUUCCGGCAGACCACCGGCGGCCUAUCCGACGAAAAGGCAGAUAUGCAGACAUCAUAGAUUGUGUUGUUCGUCGGGCAACUUAUUUUGAAUCGUAUAAUUUAAGAAAUUUAUAGUUUUGGUUGAUUAGGUUUAAAUCAACAUGUUUGCUACGACAUGAUGACUUCUUUCCUUGGACAGCCACACCUUUAGAAGACAUUUGCAAAUCACUUUUCUGUUUGCCAUGCUUGUUGUGCUUAAGAUGCAUAAAAGACACAUUCACAUCGAAGGAGAGAUAGAAUAAAGAUCCGAGGAGGCUUUAUACACCCGGUUACCUUUAUCACAUCGUAGAGAGAAAACCUUUCAGAUGCGGUAGGUUUACACCAGUUGUAAGCAGAGCGGUCCCUCUAGAUGGGAGAUUUGAGCACAUAGUUCUUUUUUGCAAUGCUACCACGCCAUCAUUUGGAUAGAUAGGGAAGUUAAAAGGGAUUUAGAUUGCCAGAGGUUUUUGUGUCAACUGUGGAAGAUAGAAAACUUGAAGAUACAAAACAAGGUGGAAUAUGGGCUUGAAGGCUACUUCAAAUGUGAAGUAGGUUGUUCUUUUAUCAGGUGAACAAGUAUGUCUCAUGUUGUUAUGUUAAGUCAGUUUUUCAACUAUUUUGAUCAUGAUUCACAAUUUUUAAUGUUGAUUUGAUCUUACUUAGUUCAGGUUUGGAUAUCCUGAACUUUACAUACGUAGGAAUUGUUUUUUACUUCUACCUUCCUCAUAAUUUUGGAACUGUUUUGUUGGUGUAUAAGACCCGGGAGUUGAGUCAAAUGUAGGGCGAAACCAUUCAACCUUGAUUGUACUUGGCGGAAUGUAACAAACAGUUUGCUUC